rnacentral:rRNA from 1 species
UACGGUGGAUGCGAGCGUUAUCCGGAUUUAUUGGGUUUAAAGGGUGCGUAGGCGGGAUGCCAAGUCAGCGGUAAAAAUGCGGUGCUCAACGCCGUCGAGCCGUUGAAACUGGCGUUCUUGAGUGGGCGAGAAGUAUGCGGAAUGCGUGGUGUAGCGGUGAAAUGCAUAGAUAUCACGCAGAACUCCGAUUGCGAAGGCAGCAUACCGGCGCCCUACUGACGCUGAGGCACGAAAGCGUGGGUAUCGAACAGG